CAACGCCGCGUGGGGGAUGAAGCUUUUCGGAGUGUAAACCCCUUUCGACCCGGAAGAAUGCCCGCAAGGGUUUGACGGUACGGGUAUAAGAAGCCCCGGCUAACUACGUGC
rnacentral:rRNA from 1 species